UCGAUCCUCAAACGCACAAUCAACUCGUCCAUGUUCAUUUCCUUACGUUUGUGUUUGAGGUAAUUUUUGAAAUCUCUCCAUGAAGGCGGGAGUUUUUCAAUUACCGCUGCUACUUGGAAUGACUCACUUACAGUCAUUUUUUCAGCAUGUAAAUCAUGGAGGAGUACCUGCAAAUCUUGAACUUGGGAAAUAAUAGAUUUAGAGUCAAUCAUUUUAUAUUCCAAAAAUUUUCCGACAAGAAAUUUUUUAGAUCCUACAUCUUCAAUUUUAUAUUUUUUCUCUAAAGAUUCCCAUAGUUCUUUUGCAGUUUUCAUUAUGCUAUAUACACCAUAUAGCGAAUCAUUCAGU
rnacentral:lncRNA from 1 species